GACGAACGCUGGCGGCGUGCUUAACACAUGCAAGUCGAGCGGAAAGGCCCUUUCGGGGGUACUCGAGCGGCGAACGGGUGAGUAACACGUGAGUAAUCUGCCCCUGGCUUUGGGAUAGCCACCGGAAACGGUGAUUAAUACCGGAUACGACCACUUCUCGCAUGGGAUGGUGGUGGAAAGUUUUUCGGCCAGGGAUGUGCUCGCGGCCUAUCAGCUUGAUGGUGAGGUAAUGGCUCACCAUGGCUUCGACGGGUAGCCGGCCUGAGAGGGUGACCGGUCACAAAGGGACUGAGACUCGGCCCAGACUCCUACGGGAGGUAGCAGUGGGGAAUAUUGGUCAAUGGGCGGAAGCCUGAUCCAGCAACGCCGCGUGAGGGAUGACGGCCUUCGGGUUGUAAACCUCUUUCAGCAGGGGCGAAGCGCAAGUGACGGUACCUGCAGAAGAAGCACCGGCCAACUACGUGCCAGCAGCCGCCGUAA
rnacentral:rRNA from 1 species